rnacentral:rRNA from 1 species
UACGAAGGGGGCUAGCGUUGCUCGGAAUUACUGGGCGUAAAGCGCACGUAGGCGGUCUUUUAAGUCGGGGGUGAAAUCCUGGAGCUCAACUCCAGAACUGCCUUCGAUACUGGAAGACUUGAGUCCGGGAGAGGUGAGUGGAACUGCGAGUGUAGAGGUGAAAUGCGUAGAGAUUAGGAAGAACACCAGUGGCGAAGGCGACUUACUGGACUGUAACUGACACUGAGGCAUGAAAGCGUGGGUAGCAAACAGG